rnacentral:rRNA from 1 species
AAUCAACGCUGGCGGCGUGCCUAACACAUGCAAGUCGAACGCGAAAGUCCCGCAAGGGGCGAGUAGAGUGGCAAACGGGUGAGUAACACGUGGGUGACCUGCCUUCGAGUGGGGGAUAACGUCCCGAAAGGGACGCUAAUACCGCAUGAUAUCCUGCCUUUGAAGAGGUGGAGAUCAAAGCUGGGGAUCGCAAGACCUAGCGCUCAAAGAGGGGCCCGCGCCUGAUUAGCAGUUGGUGGGGUAAUGGCUCACCAAGGCAACGAUCAGUAUCCGGCCUGAGAGGGCGGACGGACACACUGGGACUGAGACACGGCCCAGACUCCUACGGGAGGCAGCAGUGGGGAAUUGUUCGCAAUGGGCGCAAGCCUGACGACGCAACGCCGCGUGGAGGAUGAAGA